UUCUUAUUAGAUGAUGACUAUCACAUGUCAUGUUCUGAUUGACCUAUGACAACAAAAAUGCAUUUCAUCUUCCAUGAAGUUGACAUCCAAUCAUAACAUGACACGUGACAGUCAUCAUCC
rfam:Glycine soja cultivar W05 scaffold2240_15, whole genome shotgun sequence.